rnacentral:rRNA from 1 species
AACGGGAAACCUUUUAUUGAAGCUUCGGCAGAUUUAGCUGGUUUCUAGUGGCGGACGGGUGAGUAACGCGUGGGUAACCUGCCUUAUACAGGGGGAUAACAACCAGAAAUGGUUGCUAAUACCGCAUAAGCGCACAGGACCGCAUGGUCCGGUGUGAAAAACUCCGGUGGUAUAAGAUGGACCCGCGUUGGAUUAGCUAGUUGGCAGGGCAACGGCCUACCAAGGCGACGAUCCAUAGCCGGCCUGAGAGGGUGAACGGCCACAUUGGGACUGAGACACGGCCCAGACUCCUACGGGAGGCAGCAGUGGGGAAUAUUGCACAAUGGGGGAAACCCUGAUGCAGCGACGCCGCGUGAAGGAAGAAGUAUCUCGGUAUGUAAACUUCUAUCAGCAGGGAAGAUAGUGACGGUACCUGACUAAGAAGCCCCGGCUAACUACGUGCCAGCAGCCGCGGUAAUACGUAGGGGGCAAGCGUUAUCCGGAUUUACUGGGUGUAAAGGGAGCGUAGACGGACUGGCAAGUCUGAUGUGAAAGGCGGGGGCUCAACCCCUGGACUGCAUUGGAAACUGUUAGUCUUGAGUGCCGGAGAGGUAAGCGGAAUUCCUAGUGUAGCGGUGAAAUGCGUAGAUAUUAGGAGGAACACCAGUGGCGAAGGCGGCUUACUGGACGGUAACUGACGUUGAGGCUCGAAAGCGUGGGG